AGAGUUUGAUCCUGGCUCAGAUUGAACACUGGCGGCAGGCUUAACACAUGCAAGUCGAGCGGUAACAGGGGGAGCUUGCUCCCUGCUGACGAGCGGCGGACGGGUGAGUAAUGCAUAGGAAUCUGCCCAGUAGUGGGGGAUAGCCCGGGGAAACCCGGAUUAGUACCGCAUACGCCCUACGGGGGAAAGCAGGGGAUCUUCGGACCCUGCGCUAUUGGAUGAGCCUAUGUCGGAUUAGCUAGUUGGUGGGGUAAAGGCCUACCAAGGCGACGAUCCGUAGCUGGUCUGAGAGGAUGAUCAGCCACAUCGGGACUGAGACACGGCCCGUACUCCUCCGGGAGGCAGCAGUGGGGAAUAUUGGACAAUGGGCGCAAGCCUGAUCCAACCAUGCCGCGUGUGUGAAGCAGGCCUUCGGGUUGUAAAUCCCUUUCCGCGGGGAGGAAAACCUCAUGGUUUAUCCCCCCUGGGCUUGACGUACCGACGAAGAGGCUCUGAUGUGCAUUCCAA
rnacentral:rRNA from 1 species